rnacentral:rRNA from 1 species
UACGAAGGGGGCUAGCGUUGCUCGGAAUUACUGGGCGUAAAGCGCACGUAGGCGGCUUUUUAAGUCGGGGGUGAAAUCCUGGAGCUCAACUCCAGAACUGCCUUCGAUACUGAAGAGCUCGAGUUCGGGAGAGGUGAGUGGAACUGCGAGUGUAGAGGUGAAAUUCGUAGAUAUUCGCAAGAACACCAGUGGCGAAGGCGGCUCACUGGCCCGAUACUGACGCUGAGGUGCGAAAGCGUGGGGAGCAAACUAGGG